AAGAAGCACCGGCUAACUCCGUGCCAGCAGCCGCGGUAAUACGGAGGGUGCAAGCGUUAAUCGGAAUUACUGGGCGUAAAGCGCACGCAGGCGGUCUGUCAAGUCGGAUGUGAAAUCCCCGGGCUUAACCUGGGAACUGCAUUCGAAACUGGCAGGCUAGAGUCUUGUAGAGGGGGGUAGAAUUCCAGGUGUAGCGGUGAAAUGCGUAGAGAUCUGGAGGAAUACCGGUGGCGAAGGCGGCCCCCUGGACAAA
rnacentral:rRNA from 1 species